rnacentral:rRNA from 1 species
GGUUAAGCGACUAAGCGUACACGGUGGAUGCCCUGGCAGUCAGAGGCGAUGAAGGACGUGCUAAUCUGCGAUAAGCGUCGGUAAGGUGAUAUGAACCGUUAUAACCGGCGAUUUCCGAAUGGGGAAACCCAGUGUGAUUCGUCACACUAUCAUUAACUGAAUCCAUAGGUUAAUGAGGCGAACCGGGGGAACUGAAACAUCUAAGUACCCCGAGGAAAAGAAAUCAACCGAGAUUCCCCCAGUAGCGGCGAGCGAACGGGGAGGAGCCCAGAGCCUGAAUCAGUGUGUGUGUUAGUGGAAGCGUCUGGAAAGGCGCGCGAUACAGGGUGACAGCCCCGUACACAAAAAUGCACAUGCUGUGAGCUCGAUGAGUAGGGCGGGACACGUGGUAUCCUGUCUGAAUAUGGGGGGACCAUCCUCCAAGGCUAAAUACUCCUGACUGACCGAUAGUGAACCAGUACCGUGAGGGAAAGGCGAAAAGAACCCCGGCGAGGGGAGUGAAAAAGAACCUGAAACCGUGUACGUACAAGCAGUGGGAGCACAGAGCAAUCUGUGUGACUGCGUACCUUUUGUAUAAUGGGUCAGCGACUUAUAUUCUGUAGCAAGGUUAACCGAAUAGGGGAGCCGAAGGGAAACCGAGUCUUAACUGGGCGUUAAGUUGCAGGGUAUAGACCCGAAACCCGGUGAUCUAGCCAUGGGCAGGUUGAAGGUUGGGUAACACUAACUGGAGGACCGAACCGACUAAUGUUGAAAAAUUAGCGGAUGACUUGUGGCUGGGGGUGAAAGGCCAAUCAAACCGGGAGAUAGCUGGUUCUCCCCGAAAGCUAUUUAGGUAGCGCCUCGUGAAUUCAUCUCCGGGGGUAGAGCACUGUUUCGGCAAGGGGGUCAUCCCGACUUACCAACCCGAUGCAAACUGCGAAUACCGGAGAAUGUUAUCACGGGAGACACACGGCGGGUGCUAACGUCCGUCGUGAAGAGGGAAACAACCCAGACCGCCAGCUAAGGUCCCAAAGUCAUGGUUAAGUGGGAAACGAUGUGGGAAGGCCCAGACAGCCAGGAUGUUGGCUUAGAAGCAGCCAUCAUUUAAAGAAAGCGUAAUAGCUCACUGGUCGAGUCGGCCUGCGCGGAAGAUGUAACGGGGCUAAACCAUGCACCGAAGCUGCGGCAGCGACACUGUGUGUUGUUGGGUAGGGGAGCGUUCUGUAAGCCUGUGAAGGUGUGCUGUGAGGCAUGCUGGAGGUAUCAGAAGUGCGAAUGCUGACAUAAGUAACGAUAAAGCGGGUGAAAAGCCCGCUCGCCGGAAGACCAAGGGUUCCUGUCCAACGUUAAUCGGGGCAGGGUGAGUCGACCCCUAAGGCGAGGCCGAAAGGCGUAGUCGAUGGGAAACAGGUUAAUAUUCCUGUACUUGGUGUUACUGCGAAGGGGGGACGGAGAAGGCUAUGUUGGCCGGGCGACGGUUGUCCCGGUUUAAGCGUGUAGGCUGGUUUUCCAGGCAAAUCCGGAAAAUCAAGGCUGAGGCGUGAUGACGAGGCACUACGGUGCUGAAGCAACAAAUGCCCUGCUUCCAGGAAAAGCCUCUAAGCAUCAGGUAACAUCAAAUCGUACCCCAAACCGACACAGGUGGUCAGGUAGAGAAUACCAAGGCGCUUGAGAGAACUCGGGUGAAGGAACUAGGCAAAAUGGUGCCGUAACUUCGGGAGAAGGCACGCUGAUAUGUAGGUGAAGUCCCUCGCGGAUGGAGCUGAAAUCAGUCGAAGAUACCAGCUGGCUGCAACUGUUUAUUAAAAACACAGCACUGUGCAAACACGAAAGUGGACGUAUACGGUGUGACGCCUGCCCGGUGCCGGAAGGUUAAUUGAUGGGGUCAGCGCAAGCGAAGCUCUUGAUCGAAGCCCCGGUAAACGGCGGCCGUAACUAUAACGGUCCUAAGGUAGCGAAAUUCCUUGUCGGGUAAGUUCCGACCUGCACGAAUGGCGUAAUGAUGGCCAGGCUGUCUCCACCCGAGACUCAGUGAAAUUGAACUCGCUGUGAAGAUGCAGUGUACCCGCGGCAAGACGGAAAGACCCCGUGAACCUUUACUAUAGCUUGACACUGAACAUUGAGCCUUGAUGUGUAGGAUAGGUGGGAGGCUUUGAAGUGUGGACGCCAGUCUGCAUGGAGCCGACCUUGAAAUACCACCCUUUAAUGUUUGAUGUUCUAACGUGGACCCGUGAUCCGGGUUGCGGACAGUGUCUGGUGGGUAGUUUGACUGGGGCGGUCUCCUCCUAAAGAGUAACGGAGGAGCACGAAGGUUGGCUAAUCUUGGUCGGACAUCAGGAGGUUAGUGCAAUGGCAUAAGCCAGCUUGACUGCGAGCGUGACGGCGCGAGCAGGUGCGAAAGCAGGUCAUAGUGAUCCGGUGGUUCUGAAUGGAAGGGCCAUCGCUCAACGGAUAAAAGGUACUCCGGGGAUAACAGGCUGAUACCGCCCAAGAGUUCAUAUCGACGGCGGUGUUUGGCACCUCGAUGUCGGCUCAUCACAUCCUGGGGCUGAAGUAGGUCCCAAGGGUAUGGCUGUUCGCCAUUUAAAGUGGUACGCGAGCUGGGUUUAGAACGUCGUGAGACAGUUCGGUCCCUAUCUGCCGUGGGCGCUGGAGAACUGAGGGGGGCUGCUCCUAGUACGAGAGGACCGGAGUGGACGCAUCACUGGUGUUCGGGUUGUCAUGCCAAUGGCACUGCCCGGUAGCUAAAUGCGGAAGAGAUAAGUGCUGAAAGCAUCUAAGCACGAAACUUGCCCCGAGAUGAGUUCUCCCUGACCCUUUAAGGGUCCUGAAGGAACGUUGAAGACGACGACGUUGAUAGGCCGGGUGUGUAAGCGCAGCGAUGCGUUGAGCUAACCGGUACUAAUGAACCGUGAGGCUUAACCUUACAACGCCGAAGGUGUUUUG